GACGAACGCUGGCGGCGUGCUUAACACAUGCAAGUAGAACGAGUGGCGAACGGGUGAGUUAUACGUGAGUAACCUGCCCUCUUUUUGGGAUAAGCCUUGGCAACGGGGUCUAAUACCGGAUAAAGUGGGUUGGGCUCGCGUCCUGUCAGCUUGUUGGUGGGGUGAUGGCCUACCAAGGCGGUGACGGGUAGCCGGCCGGAGAGGGUGACAGACCACAUUAGUACUGGGAGACGGCCCAGAAUCCUACGGGAGGCAGCAGUGGGGGAUAUUGCACAAUGGGCGAAAGCCUGAUGCAGCGACGCCGCGUGGGGGAUGAAGGCUUUCGGGUUGUAAACCUCUUUCGCUAUCGAAAGGGUAGGUGGAGAAGAAGCGCCGGCUAACUACGUGCCAGCAGCCGCGGUAAUUC
rnacentral:rRNA from 1 species